rnacentral:rRNA from 1 species
CAGCAGCGCGGUAAUACGGAGGGUGCAAGCGUUAAUCGGAAUUACUGGGCGUAAAGCGCACGCAGGCGGUCUGACAAGUCAGAUGUGAAAUCCCCGGGCUUAACCUGGGAACUGCAUUUGAAACUGUCAGGCUGGAGUCUUGUAGAGGGGGGUGGAAUUCCAGGUGUAGCGGUGAAAUGCGUAGAGAUCUGGAGGAAUACCGGUGGCGAAGGCGGCCCCCUGGACAAAGACUGACGCUCAGGUGCGAAAGCGUGGGGAGCAAACAGGAUUAGAUACCCCGGUAGUCCCUGUCUCUUAUACA